ACCUGGAUGGCUCAGUCGGUUGGGCACCCGACUUUGGCUCAGGUCAUGAUCUAAUGGUUCAUGGGUUCGAAUCCCAUGUUGGGCA
rnacentral:tRNA from 1 species